CAAUAGCGUAUAUUAAAGUUGUUGCAGUUAGAACGCUCGUAGUCGGAUUUCGGGGCGGGCCGACCGGUCUGCCGAUGGGUACGCACUGGUCGGCGCGUCCUUCCUUCCGGAGACCGUGCCUACUCUUAACUGAGCGGGGGCGGGAGACGGAUCGUUUACUUUGAAAAAAUCAGAGUGUUUCAAGCAGGCAGCUCGCUCUUGCAUGGAUUAGCAUGGGAUAAUGAAAUAGGACUUUGGUGCUAUUUUGUUGGUUUCGAACACCGAAGUAAUGAUUAACAGGGACAGUCAGGGGCACCCGUAUUCCGCCGAGAGAGGUGAAAUUCUCAGACCAGCGGAAGACGAACUACUGCGAAAGCAUUUGCCAGGGAUGUUUUCACUGA
rnacentral:rRNA from 1 species